rnacentral:snRNA from 1 species
GGAUGUGAGGGCGAUCUGGCUGUGACAUUUGUCACCCCAUUGAUCGCCAGGGUUGAUUCGGCUGAUCUGGCUGGCUAGGCGGGUGUCCAAUUCCUCCCUCACCGCUCCAUGUGCGUCCCUCCCGAAGCUGCACACUCAGUCGAAGGGGAUGACCUUCCCCAAUAGAGGAGGAUCAUUCUUCCGUCAAGGGUAUAGGAGUAGCUGCGUUCCCCUGCUAGAACCUCCAAACAAGCUCUCAAGGUCCAUCUGUAGGAGAACGUAGGGUAGUCAAGCUUCCAAGACUCCAGACACAUCCAAAUGAGGUGCUGCACGUGGCAGUCUGCCUUUAUUU